ACGGGCGUUUCCUGUGUUGUUGGCUUGGACUUCCGGCGUCCUGGGAGCGUUAGUUCUUUUGAAACGUGUUUGUUUUCUGUUCACAGGCUUCCCUUGCCCGCGACCUUUCAGAACUUCCGAGAGAAUCACCAUAAAGAGGCAUCCGUGACCUUCAAGGACGUGGCAGUGACCUUUACCUAGGACGAGUGGGGGCAGCUGGAUGCUGCCCAGAGGAGCCUGUACUGGGAGGUGAUGCUGGAGACCUGUGGGAUAUCCGGUUCCCAAACCAGAUCUAAUCCACCCACUGAAGCACAGGCAGGAGCUGUGGGUGGUGAAGAGAAGCCUCUCCCAAAGUGCCUGUCCAGGGCCAUCUACUGAAACUGUGGAGGAUGGAGGAGUGGGCAAGAUCAUUAUUUCCUUCUUAUGCAUGAAGAAUUCGAUGGAACAUGUGGGAUAUAAUGCAAAAGUAAGUAGUUGGAAGAGGCUGUCGGGCUGAGGAGGGGGUUAGAGACACAUCAACUGACUGAGCUGUGCAAGGAAGCAGGAGAGGGGCAAGAGCAUUACUCUGCAGUAGUGCCAAUCUAGACACUUGAUGACUCCAACUAUUCUCAGCAGCCCAGAUGUGGGCCAGACAAAGCCAAGUGUCAUCUUGAGGUUUUACAGUAGAGAGCCAGGAAGAUAAUGCAGCUAGGGAUUGCUUCUAUCUGACAAAUGUGAAGAUAGAUGAAUGAAUGGCUGGAAAAGGGUGGGAUGCAGAGCAUAGGCAGAGAUAGUAAAAUAGGAAAAUGAUACCCCAAAGGAAGACAAUAAUUUGCCAGUUACCAGUCAAAAAGAAAUUGAGAUCUAUGAAUAGAUGCACAAAGAAUUGAAAAAUAAUCAUCUCAAAAAAACUAUGAGCUAAAACAGACAACAAAAUCAGAAAAACAAUACGUGAUCAAAAUAAGUUAAAUGAAGAGACAAACUUUAACAUACAACCAAACAUAUAUUCUGGAGCUGAGAAUAUAAUGAUGAAUCAAAAAUUCCAUAGAAAGCUUUAACAGAAGAUUUGAUCAUGCAGUAGAACCAAUGAAUUCAAAGACAGAUCAUUUGAAAUUAUACAGUUGGGGGAGGGGAAGAAAGAAUGAUAAAGAGUGAAGAAAGCCUAUGAGACUUUUAAGAACCAAUAUAUGCAUUGCGGCAGGGAGGGUGGGGUGGGGUGUAAGACCCCUCAUGAUGGAAUUAGUGUCCUUAUAAGAAGAGCUCUCUCUCUCCUCCAUGUGAAAUGUGAAGACACAGCAAGAAGGUAGCCAGCUGCAAUCCAAAGACAGAGUUCUCACCAGACACCCACCCUCCUAGCACCCUAACCUCAGACUUCCAGUUCCAGAACUGUGAGAAAUAAAUUCUUGUUGUUUAAUCCAAAAAAAAAAAGAACCAAUAUAUGCAUUAUGGGAGUCCUUGUAGAAGGAGAAGAGAAGUGGCAAUAAACUUACUUAAAGAAAUAAUGGGUGAAAACAUCCCAAAUAUGUAGAGAGAUAUGGACCAUCCAGAUAAAUGAAUCUCAGAGUUCCCCAGUCAGUUUCAACAGAGAGAAAACUUCAACAGGACACUUUAUAAUCAAACUGUCAAAAUCGAAGACAGAGAUUUUUGAAAGCAGCAAAGAAAAAGCAGUUUGUUAUACACAAGAGAUUCUGGAGGAAUGUCGUGGGUUUCUUCUCAGAAACGUUUGUACCCCUUCCAUUAUAAACUCUGAGGAUCUAAUGUACAGAACAGUGACUAUAGUUAAUAGUAUUGUUAUCACAUACAUGAAAUUUGCUAGGAGAGAUUUUAAGCAUUCUUACCAAAAAAAGUGAUGGAUGUGUUAAUUAACUUGGUUGUAGUUAUAUUUUCACAGUGUGUACUUAUAUCAAAUAAUCAAUUUGUAUAUUUUAAAUAUAUUUAUAUUUAAAGUACAUAAUAUAUAUAAAUUUAUUUUUUGUCAGUUGUAUGUCAGAAAAUUUUUAAUGAAGGCAAGAUUAGAUUUUUUCCAGGAGGAAAAAACAAAACAAAACAAAAAACCCUGAGUAGUUUAUCACCUCUAGAACUGCUUCACAGGAAGUCCUAAUGGAAUUCUUCAAUAAAAAUUUUAGGGAUUUCCCUCGUGGUCCAGUGGUAAAGAAUCCACCUUCCAAUGCAGGGGACGCGGGUUCGAUCCCUGGUCAGGGAACUAACAUCCCACAUGCAACUAAGCCUGCACGCCACAACUACUGAGCUCGUGCGCCUCAACUAUAGAGACGCCUGCACGCCACAAUGAAAGAUCCCACGUGCCACGAUGAAUAUCCCACGUGUUGCAACUAAGACUCGACACAGCCAAAAAUAAAUGUUAAAUUUCUAAAAAAUAAUAUUAAAAUGUGGGAGUAUAAUUCGUACUGUAAAGGCACAUAUAUAGUCAAACUCAGAAUAAUAUAGAGAGCUACAAAUUUCCAGUUAUGAGAUAAGUGCUGGAAAUGUAAUGUACAACAUGAUGACUGUAGUUAACACUGCUGUAUGGUAUAUUUGAAAGUUAGAGUAAAUCCUGAGAGUCCUCAUCACAAGGGAAAAAACUUUUUUUUGUUUCUGUGUAAGAUGAUGGGUAUUAACUAAGCUUAUGUGGUAAUCAUUUCACAAUAUAUGAAAGCCAAGUUAUUAUGCUGUACACCUUAAACUCAUACAGUGCUGUAUGUCGAUUAUAUCUCAAAACUGGAAAAAAGAAUAUGCCAAUAUAGUAGUGGUAUGCAUAAAUCACUUUUAAGUCUAGUAUAAAAGGUAAAAGACAAAACUGUUAAAAUAACUGUGACUACUGUAAUUUGAUAUGGAUAAACAAUAUUAAAAUGUAAA